GUAAGAGCGUGCUAAGUUCAGCCUGGCCGAAUCUUAUAUGCCCUCCACCUGGGAUCGCAUUUGUCGAGUUCUAUGCGCGGUAACUCUUUUAAGGCAAACAAAGGACAAAAUAAUCACCCCUAUCGUGAAAAAUAUGUGGAAUUUUUAUUCCCAUGAGAUCUGAAUUCCCCUCGAAAGGGAUUUUACAAUCGUUAAACUCCCGCGAAAUGUUUGUUCCCUUUUUUAAUCAGCUGUUACAAGUUUUGUAGGGCUAUCAGUGCAUACUGAAUGAAGGUAAAAUACAAAACAAAUUUAAAUUGAAUUUAAAAAAGAGAAAAUGUUGAGAAUCGGUGCAAUAUUGUUGCUUCAGGAGGAAGAAACAGUGCAGCAUCGUAUCAUCCGCAGACGUGUACGAGAUGCAUCUAACCUCUUGGAUUUACCCCAUACAUUAUUCAUCCAGCACUAUAGAUUAAGUAAAGAUGCUUUUAAGUAUAUUCUGGAGGAGCUCGAGGAAAAUCUGCCGCCAUCAAAAACAUCAUCCGGAAUUCCAACAAUUUUAAAAUUAUGUGCCUGUCUGCGAUACUUUGCAGAGGGUGGGUACCAGAAAGGAGUAGGCAGAGAUUACGAAGUUGGAAUGGCGCAGUCAACGUUCAGCGAAGUGCUCACACAUAUUUUAAAUGUAAUGGAACCUUUCCGACCGAGGAAGAGAGUCGAGUGACAGCGCAAGAUUUCUAUCGUAAAUUUGGAAUACCAGGCGUUGUGGAAUCUAUUGAUGGCACUCACAUCAACAUAUAUAGGUCCAAUGGAACACUUAUACUUCAACCGGAAAGGACACUAUAGCCUAAAUACAACACUUGUAAGUUUCCUAUCUGACACGUUUUUAACUGUAGGGCCGUUACUAUUCAAUUCCUCUGUAAGACUAUUCCAAAAUUCUGUCAUUACGUAUUUUGAAAUUUUGACAAAGCCACAUGCAAUUGUCCUGCUAUUUUGCAUUUUGUUGAGCAAAAUCGCGUCUUGGUUUUUGUUCACACUUCGGCUCCUAAAAAAUUUUAAAUAAGGCAUUAUUGUUCUAAUAAAACCCCACAAAAACUUACAUGGUUAAAGCAACUCCUCAGCAAAAA